rnacentral:lncRNA from 1 species
UUCUAGAUUAUAAUUUAUAGAGGUCUUUUUCAAAAUUUCUUUGUUUGGGAUUCUUUUCAUCAAUUUGGUUUUCGACUAAAAUUCAUUCAUGUGAUCCAUAUGAGAAGAAAAAACAUUCUUUUCAUUUUUCACUUAGUUCCAAAUAUGAGUACAAGCAUGAGAGGCUUUCACUGAAAAAGGUUCCUCUUUUACAAACCAG